AAAGCUUGGUAUGAUUUUUUUGCUGUAAAUUCGGUGAAGAUAAAGAUCUUAAUUUACUUCAAAGCCGAAUUAAUUCUACUUCAAUUUCCUCCAGAUUUUCAUUUAGCAAAAAAAGUAGACAAAGUUUUAGUAGUAUAAAGAAAAUUAAAAAAGAUGACACGCCUGAAAAUAGUCUUGCACUUUUGACGAUAUGGUUAGCACAGAUCCUGUUAAUGCCAACCUAGCUGACCCAAGAACGCCAC